UAUCUCUAUGAUGAUUGGUUUAUAAAUAAAAGUAGUGGACUGAUUUCCAUUGAUGAUUACAACCGUUCUGAGAGAUC